CUUGGCCUACUGGAGUUUGCCAUCUGGCGGGCUGACACUGUGUAGGAGAGGGGAAACAGUGUACUUAAGGAGCACACGCCGGCCUCUGAGCCAGAACAGGUGAAGAGGAUGUGAUGACUAACCUAGGACCUGAAAUGCAAGAAAAUAAGGACAUUGGUUCACCAAGGGGCUGAGUAACAUAGCAAGGAUCCACUGGCCACUCCAGGGCAAAGCAAGGGAAGACACAGUCUCUGUCUACUGGUUCUUCAAAACCCGGUUCAAGCCCUGCCUCCUCACCAAGUUCACCAGGAGCUCCGGC